rnacentral:rRNA from 1 species
UACGUAGGCAGCGAGCGUUGUUCGGAAUUACUGGGCGUAAAGAGUGUGUAGGCGGUGCUCUAAGUUCGGUGUGAAAUCUCCUGGCUUAACUGGGAGGGUGCGCCGGAAACUGGAGUGCUCGAGCGUGGGAGAGGAAAGCGGAAUUCCUGGUGUAGCGGUGAAAUGCGUAGAUAUCAGGAGGAACACCUGUGGUGUAGACGGCUUUCUGGACCGUAACUGACGCUGAGACACGAAAGCGUGGGUAGCAAACAGG